rnacentral:tRNA from 1 species
UAGCUCAAUGGUAGAGCACUUGCCUAGAAUGCAUGAAUCCCUGGGUUCAAUCCCCAG